AAACCAAUUAAAAAAAAAAAUCCCAAGAGACAUUUAUUGAGGGGGGGUACAGGACACGGGGGGGAUUCCGGCCACUCCGCUCCGGAACUACGGGGGGACCCGGGGGGACCCGGGGGGACCCGGCCUCGGCGGCCCCGGGAAUUCCGGGGGGACUCCCGGAGGUCCCGGGGGUCCCCUGAGGGUCCCGGGGGGAUCCCGGGAAGUCCCGGGGGAUCCGGGGGGCUCCCAGCAGGGUCCUGGGGGGAUCCCGGGGGGUCCCCAGACGGUCCCGGGGCUCUCCCGGCCCAGCGCCGGCUCCAGGGGCCGCCCCGGCUCCCGCCCAGCUCCGGCUCCUGCGGGACAGAGAGGCGGGUCAGGAGCGGGGUCGGGAUUGGGGUCGGGAUUGGGGCAGGGUCAGCGCAGGGAUCGGGAUCGGGAUCAGGUCAGGGCAGGGAUCGGGGCAGGGGCAGGAUCGGGGUCAGGAUUGGGACCGGAAUCAGGGCAGGAUCGGGAUCAGGUCAGGGCUGGGAUCGGGGCAGGGGCUGGGGCAGGGGCAGGGGCAGGAUUGGAGUUGGGAUCAGCAUUGGGGCAGGCUCAGCACUGGGGUCAGGGCAGGGUCCGGAUUGGGAUCAGGGUUGUGAUCAGAACUGGGGCAGGGGCAGGAUCAGGGCUGGGAUCGGGAUCAGGAGCAGCUCCGGUGCUGGGGGCUCCAGGAGGGGCAGAGCCCCAAACCCAACUCCAGUCCCUGCCUCGAUCCCAGUCCCAAUCCCUGCCCAGAUCCCAGUCCCAUCCCAGCCCAAAUCCCUGCCCAGAUCCCAUUUCCUGCCCCAAUCCUGCCCCAUUCCCAUCCCAUUCCCAUUCCCAACCCCAAUCCCUGCCCCAUUCCCAUUCCCAUCCCUGCCCCGAUCCCGGCCCCAAUCCCUGCCCAGAUCCCAUUCCCAUCCCAUUCCCAUUUCCAACCCUGCCCCAAUCCCCGCCCCAUUCCCAUCCCAUUCCCAUUCCCAUCCCUGCCCAUUCCCAUUCCCAACCCCAAUCCUGCCCCAUUCCCAUCCCAUUCCCAUUCCCAACCCCAAUCCUGCCCCAUUCCCAUCCCAUUCCCAUUCCCAACCCCAAUCCAUGCCCCAUUCCCAUUCCCAUCCCUGCCCUGAUCCCCCCCGACCCAGCCCCAUUUCCAUCCCUGCCCCAAUCCUGCCCCAUUCCCAUUCCCAAUCCUGCCCCAUUCCCAUCCCUGCCCCGAUCCUGGCCCCAGCCCCGCUGCAAUUCCCACCUCCCCUUUCCCCUCACUCCCAUCCUUUUUCCACCUUUUUCCUGCUAUUUCCCUAUUUUCCAUCACUUUCUUUCCCAAUUCCUCUCACUUUUAACCAUUUCCUCCAUCUCUUCCCAACUUUUUCUCCUUUCCAACCUUUUCUCACUUCCCUCUUUUCUUUUUUCCCCCCCAAUUGUCUUUUCCCCCUUUUUUCCCUUUUCCCCAACCCUUUCCCUUCAUCCCUCUCACUUCAACUUCCCUUCAUCUUUCCCCAAACCUUUUUCCUAUUUUCCCACUUUUCUGCCUGA
rnacentral:lncRNA from 1 species